GCGGCGUGCUUAACACAUGCAAGUCGAACGAUGAACCACUUCGGUGGGGAUUAGUGGCGAACGGGUGAGUAACACGUGGGCAAUCUGCCCUGCACUCUGGGACAAGCCCUGGAAACGGGGUCUAAUACCGGAUACUGACCCGCUUGGGCAUCCAAGCGGUUCGAAAGCUCCGGCGGUGCAGGAUGAGCCCGCGGCCUAUCAGCUUGUUGGUGAGGUAAUGGCUCACCAAGGCGACGACGGGUAGCCGGCCUGAGAGGGCGACCGGCCACACUGGGACUGAGACACGGCCCAGACUCCUACGGGAGGCAGCAGUGGGGAAUAUUGCACAAUGGGCGAAAGCCUGAUGCAGCGACGCCGCGUGAGGGAUGACGGCCUUCGGGUUGUAAACCUCUUUCAGCAGGGAAGAAGCGAAAGUGACGGUACCUGCAGAAGAAGCGCCGGCUAACUACGUGCCAGCAGCCGCGGUAAUACGUAGGGCGCGAGCGUUGUCCGGAAUUAUUGGGCGUAAAGAGCUCGUAGGCGGCUUGUCACGUCGGUUGUGAAAGCCCGGGGCUUAACCCCGGGUCUGCAGUCGAUACGGGCAGGCUAGAGUUCGGUAGGGGAGAUCGGAAUUCCUGGUGUAGCGGUGAAAUGCGCAGAUAUCAGGAGGAACACCGGUGGCGAAGGCGGAUCUCUGGGCCGAUACUGACGCUGAGGAGCGAAAGCGUGGGGAGCGAACAGGAUUAGAUACCCUGGUAGUCCACGCCGUANACGGUGGGCACUAGGUGUGGGCGACAUUCCACGUCGUCCGUGCCGCAGCUAACGCAUUAAGUGCCCCGCCUGGGGAGUACGGCCGCAAGGCUAAAA
rnacentral:rRNA from 1 species